AUUCUCCUUCAAUCCAUCUUUGU
rnacentral:miRNA from 1 species